rnacentral:lncRNA from 1 species
UACUAUCUUCUAUCCUCAACUCAAAUUUCCUCACAUAGCAAGUACAACUAAAUUCAUUAUUAAUAUAUAUAUAUCUAAACACUUAACUAUAAGAUUUAAUCACCAUUAUCAAAUCAUAAAACAACUUAUAAUCAUCAUCUAUAUUUACUUCACAUAAACCGAAACAUCCAUUACAUCAUCUUUAAUACACUUAGCAUUUUACCCAUUUAAUCAAGCCAAAUCUCAAGGCCAUUCCAUCACACAAAUUAUACCAUAAAUCAUACUUACAAUUUAAGUUAAUACAUGACCGAAAAUCACCAUCUUUAACACCUUUAUCAAACCAAAACCAAAACCAAAACACAUCUAUCAUCCGUAUACCAAGCUUACCAAAACAAACUACUAUGAGUUUCAAGAUUAUUGACCGAAUCUCAAACCUCAAAAUUCUAAGUUUAAUCUAUGGGAUAAGUAGAGUUUGAACUAAUCAUCUCAAACAUGCAUAGAUUUUCAAGAAUCAUUCAAUACAUACCUCAUUCUAGCCAUCUUCUAAGCCAAAAAUCAAGGCAACCAAACUUUCUUCCCCCUCCCUUUAGGCUACGACAAUGGAGGACAAGGAUCAACCAACUUUUGAUUCAAUUUUCUCUAUGACCGAAUGCACAUACCUUAAAUUUUUAGCUUGCUAUCUUGCCGAAAUCCUCAAAACAUAUUUCUUCCUUCUUUCAUUUUUCGGUCAAGAAGAACAAAGAGGAUGAAGCCUUUUUUUUUGUUUUCUUUCUUACAUUCACGGCAAUGGGGAGGGGGGAAGAAACAAUCACACACAUUCUUUCUUUCUUUUUUUUUCAAUUUCUUUAUUACCCAUACUCCUUAUUUUAUUGUUCCUAACAUACAUCACUAACAAAACAUGUUUGUGACAUGUUUCCACUCAUAGCAUGGCCGGCCACUAUGCCUUAAUUUGGGUAAAUUGACAUGCAAACCCAUCAUUUUCACAAUAUGCAUUAAUAGGCCACUUUGCAUUUGCCUAGCACAUUUCUAAAUUUUCUCACAUAAGUCCUAUUUGAUAAAAUUCACUUACAAUUAACAAAAUUCAAACAUGAAAUUUUCACACAUGCACAUGUACAUAUAAUGAGCAUCAAUUAUGACGGUUAAUUAUUUUUAUGACUCGGUUUAGUGGUCCCGAAACCACUUCCCGACUAGGGUCAAAUUAGGGGUGUCACAACUCUCCCCCACUUAAGAAAUUUUCGUCCCCGAAAAUUUCUACCGAUGCAUAGUUUAGGAUAACGUCCUCUUAUUGAAUUAUAUCCACAAAGACAUUAGCUCAUUGAUAGAAAUUGUAAUUCAUUAUUGAUUUCGCAUCGAUCUAUAAAAUCAUUUUCUUAUCUUAAAACAAAUACAUAAACAUUUCUACAAGUAUGCACAUAUAUCUCAUUUUCUUGAUUUCAUAAGUAAUAAUCACUCAAUUUAAUUCACAAUUGCAUCUCAAACACAUAUUAAACACAUAUUAAUAUGUAUAAUUCACAUCAUCAACCCACAUAUUUGUAACCCACAUUUUCAUUCAUGUAUAAGCUGUAACCUAACCGAAAGUACACAUAUACUCAACAUCCCAAUAAAUAUCCUUUAUAACUUUAUCACAUCUCAAUAUUCAACUUAACUCAUUUCCAAAAGAAAAGUCAACUUCCACGUACCUGAACAUUUAGUUCAUUUAGCACAUUCAAUCAUAGUUAACGUUACCCGUAUACAGUCGAAUAGGCAUAAAGCCUAAUAUAAUACACUGGCAUGAGAUUUAUUCUAGCGCAUAACUCGUAUAUCCAAAAUUAUCAACAUUCAUCAAAAAUUCUUUCAAACCUUCGAAUGUCGAAACUUAAUCAAAAUAAUUUCUUGAACAAGAUUAACAAAAUAGUGUCCAUUCAACAAUAGCACAUAUAGCUCUUACAAUGCCAUAUCCUAGAUAUGGUCUUACAUAUUCUCACAUUUCGAGCCGAUGCCAUGUCCCAGACAUGGUCUUACACACUAUCUCAAAUCAAUGCCUUCGUCCCAAACGAGGUCUUACAUGAAUUCCACUUCACACACUUAGUGCCCAUUGACCGAUCUCGCACUCAUAGUGCUCGGUUAAAGGAAUUCGCACACACACAGUGCCUCUAAUCAUUCACACACAUAGUGCUCUUAUUCAUUCGUUAUUACACAUUGAAAUGACUCAACCAAGUCUAUAAACAUCAUGUAUGUACACUUUUAAACAUAUCAUCUCAUUUAAAUUUGAAUUCGUAUAGUGAUGAACACUUAAACUUUGCUCAAAUUACCGGCACGAAGCCUACUAGGCACGAAGGCCCGAAUACACGUCACCAGCAUGAUUGCUCUUCGGGACCUAGCCCGGAUAUAACACCAGCACAAAUGCUCUUCGGGGUUUAGCACGGAUAUAUUACUAGCACGAAUGCUCUUCGGAACUUAGUCCGGAUACAUCACUAGCACGAAUGCUCUUCGAGACUUAACCCGGAUACAUCACUAGCACGAACGCUCUUCGGGACUUAGCCCGGAUAUAUCACUAGCACGAAUGCUCUUUGGAACUUAGUCCGGAUACAUCACUAGCACGAAUGCUCUUCGGAACUUAGUCCGGAUACAUCACUAGCACGAAUGCUCUUCGGGAUUUAGCCUGAACAUUUCACUCUCAAUUCUCAUGUACAUAUACACAUAUAGCAUUACACAUUAGUAUAUCAUUUACAUUACUUGAAUACAAACACAACAUGCUUAUCGACCAUUCAACUUCCAGUUCCAUAGCCACAUACAAAAAUCACAUUUAUAGUCAUAACACUCUUUCAAAAUUGCAUCACUUAUACCCUUAUAAUUCAAUCCAAAUCGAAAUUCAAAUACGAGUACAUGAUACAUACCUGAUCAACUUAAUAAUUUAGGCAUAUCUAAGUGAAGUUAUAUCGCAAAUUCUCAUAGUCAGAAGCUUGCUACAGCUCGAUCGGGAUCAAGAUUCAUUACAAUACAACAAACACAUUUUAAUAGCCAAAAAUCAUCACACUAUCAUUUUAUCACUUUAUGGCAUGUAUAAAUAGACUCACGCGUGCUAUGUUAGUCCUAGAAUCGACUAAACCGUAGCUCUGAUACCAAUAAAAUGUAACACCCCUAUCCCGUAACCGUCGCCAGAAUAGGUAAGGGGCAUUACCGGACUUGUAACUCAUGUCCGAACAGUAAAUUUUUUUUUUGUUUUUUUUGAACAUUCCUUUAGAUAAGUACUAAAGACAAUCAGGGAUACAAUUUAAAGCUCCAUAAGUACACAUUCAAAAGAUGCCAUUUUCGCAUGGCUUAUAUACAUUAACCAAAAAUAUUCUUCCGUCACUAGUCUAUUCUAUACAUGCCAUAAGAUAAUCCAAAACGUAGCAGUACCAAACAAUGGAUAGUGAUAGUGUGACUAGUUGCUGAUGAUCCCCGAGCCUGUAGCUUCCAAAUGAGAUCUAUAAAACAGAGGAAACAGAAUAAACGGAGUAACCAUUACAAUGCUUAGUAAGUUUUAAGCAGCGUCAACAGAUAACAAUCAAAUUAUAACAUAGUUGUUCUUAUUUUUAUUUCACUCUUCCUUCGGGCAUACCAUCCCUUUACCGAAUAUGCACAUCUCAUCAUAUACAAUAGGCAGAUGAACUUUCACAUAAAAGUGAGCUCAUGUGACAUAGAUAUAUCGUAUGAUUUCACAUAACCUCUCACACUGAUUCGAUGUUACAUAAUCAUAGGAAUAGUCUUAUAGAUUGCUCUCGUAUGCAUCACAUAACUACCUUAUGACUUAGUGCAAAUCAAGCUCACAUAUAAACUUGGAGUACAUACCUGUUUAACCUUUCGCAUUGAAUAUAUUUAUAAGCAAUUCUUAUUACGAAGUCUUACCCGGACAUAAUCUCCACACGAAGUUAUCGGGUCUUACCCAGACAAAAUCCCCACACGUAGUCAUCGGGUCUUUAGAGCUCGGAUAUAGUACGAGCACGAAGCUUACGAACAUUAAUCAGUGAUGAUAUUCUCGCAUAAAGCCUGCAGGGUUUUAACCCGGAUAUAGUACUGACACAAAUGCCCUUCGGGACUUAUCACAUUUAUACACUUUCACAUCCAUCACGUUGGCCACUCGGCCCUGUCACAUAUAUACACUUUCACAUUCAUCACAUCGGCCAUUAGGCCUUAUCACAUAUAUACACUUUCACAUUCAUCACAUCGGCCAUUAGGCCUUAUCACAUGUAUAUACACUUUCACAUUCAUCACAUCGGCCAUUAGGCCUUAUCACGUAUAUAUACACUUUCACAUUCAUCACAUCGGCCAUUAGGCCUUAUCACAUGUAUAUACACUUUCACAUUCAUCACAUCGGCCAUUAGGCCUUAUCACGUAUAUAUACACUUUCACAUUCAUCACAUCGGCUAUUAGGCCUUAUCACAUGUAUAUACACUUUCACAUUCAUCACAUCGGCUAUUAGGCCUUAUCACAUAUAUAUACACUUUCACAUUCAUCACAUCGGCCAUUAGGCCUUAUCACAUGUAUAUACACUUUCACAUAUGGGUUUAAUCAAUAGCUUAUGAGCAACUAAAACAAGUUUAUCAAGGUUUGCAACACAAUCUCAAAUUCAGCACAAGUUAUUUUUCCUGAGCAAUAGUCACUAAAUUAUUUAUAACUGGAGCUACAAAACUCCAAAUCACUUUCCGUUAAAUUUUCCUGAAUAUAGACUCGUAUAUCUUCCAUCCAUAAAAUUUCCAGAAUUUUAGGUUUGGCCAAUCAAUACCAGAUUUUUCUUAAAGUUUCCCCUGUUUCACUGUUUGACUAAUCUGACCACUCUUCACUACGAAUCAAAUUUCUAAUUUGACAGAAUGAAAAAUGUGUUGUAUUUGAUUUCAUUUGAAACUAGACUCAUUAAGGAGUCUAAGCAUAUAAAUUUUAUCUUAUAACCAUUUUUGUACAAUUUAUAAUGAUUUUCUAAAAACAGAACAGAGGAUUACAGUGUCAUUCUGCGCUGUCUCACACAACUUUAAGUAUCUCAUUAUCCGAAAUUCCUUUGCUUACAUGGUUUCUUUUAUAAGAAACUAGACUCAUUAAGCUUUAAUUUCAUGUCUCAUUCAGCCUCUAAUUCAAAUCCAUAAAUUUAUGGUGAUUUUUCUAAAUUCAUGUUACUGCUGCUGUCCUAAGCAGGUUUAUCACAAAUCUACUCUUCUGACAUAUCCUUUUAGCACUUCAUAAUAUCAUAUCCAUUUGGCAACAUAUCUUAUCAAUAACUUACCUAUACUUCAUAAUAGCCAUUAGGCUAUAUGCAUAAAAAUUUACAAUAGAGUUAUGAUUCUUUUAAUAUGUGCUUAACAUAUCAUACUCAAUCACAUUAUAGGCUUUAAUACUUAAAACUUACCUCGAUCGCUAAUGUACGUCAAUUCCGACUAUUCGACCAAUUUCCCUUUUUCCACGAUCCGACUUUGUUUCCAUAAGCUCUUGAUGCUCAAUCAACAAUUUUUAACUUCAAAUUUGCAAACAGCAAUGUCAUCACUUUACAUAACAGAAAUUAAAUUUCAUUACUUAAACUAUCCACGACAAUCACCUUCCGAGC